rnacentral:lncRNA from 1 species
AAACAAAACAAAACUAAUAAAAAUGUGAAGUUAGACUUAGACCAAUGGUUCGGUAUGUGGCUCUCUCCCCCCACGACUGGCGUUUUACUUUUGUGAAAGGUCAAACCCUACGGGGACAAGCAGACACGUACGACCAAAUCUGUCUUUUUGGUUUCUUUUCUUUUUAACCUAACUAUAUGACUAAUUUCUUUUAAAUAUCUUUUGCCCUUGUCGCAUUAUAUAAUUAUACUUUGUUGAUUAAUACGAUUACAGUUUACCACCUUUUGGUUGACAUAGCCAGAAGAAGCGUCUCGACUGGUGAAUCGGUUAAGGCUGCUUAGCUCUUCAUUAGCUCUACUUAGUCGGCCGGACAAGAAGGUGAUUUUUCACCUUUCCUUAUGAAUCAUAUAUACCAUUACAUUCAUAAGAAAAGAAAGUGAUAAAAAUGACUCAUACACAUCCAAAUCAUAUAUAUCAGAUUGGAAUUAAUCAUUCUUACUUUUAUUUUGUUUGAUAUGUUCUGAUUCGUUCCAAAGAUAUAACUUGAUUUUUUUUCAAAAGGGCUUGCCCCAUGCGUACGGCACAGACAACCUCAACGAACUUUCUCCACAAUUUUCUCAAAAUCCUCGUGUAGCUCUAAUCCUCUCUUGAUCAUAAAGUUUUAUUUCUUUAUACUAAAUUACUAAUGUACGUAUAUUUUCAAAAAAUAAGUUUCUAAACAAAAUAUACAUGUAUAUUUGAUGCAGAGCACCAAAAUUGAGACCUACCGAUCCACUAAUUAAGUAGCCCUAGGAAGAUUCAUACUCGGUUAGAGAUUAAUUAACGUAUUCAACCCAAAAUGUUGAUUCGUUGCUCGAUUCAACUGAAUGAAUGAAACUAUAUAAAUGUUUAGACAAACC